rnacentral:tRNA from 1 species
UGGGCGAUAGUGUAACGGUAACACGUCGGACUUUGAAUCCGCUCGAUGAACGUUCGAAUCGUUCUUGCCCAACCA